GAGGGCCCUGAAUUUCUUCCUUGUCCUCAGUGUGUAGAUGAAUUUGAGAACCUGGUUGUUGAUGUCCUUGAACGCCACAAGUGAGAGAGAUAAGAGUAUGGUUGAACAUCAUAUUGUUGCGCUGCUGCUAUAUAGUGUAGACAAGAGUCUGGAGCACAAGCAUUCUUAACACAGAUGGGGCUGUAGAACAUGAACUAGACGC
rnacentral:lncRNA from 1 species